UACGGGGGGGGCAAGCGUUGUUCGGAAUUACUGGGCGGAAAGGGCUCGUAGGCGGCCAACUAAGUCAGACGUGAAAUCCCUCGGCUUAACCGGGGAACUGCGUCUGAUACUGGAUGGCUUGAAUCCGGGAGAGGGAUGCGGAAUUCCAGGUGUAGCGGUGAAAUGCGUAGAUAUCUGGAGGAACACCGGUGGCGAAGGCGGGUCUCUGGGCAGUAACUGACGCUGAGGAGCGAAAGCGUGGGGAGCGAACAGG
rnacentral:rRNA from 1 species